rnacentral:rRNA from 1 species
AUGAACGCUAGCGGCAGGCUUAAUACAUGCAAGUCGAGGGGCAGCAUGGGUAGCAAUACCUGAUGGCGACCGGCAAACGGGUGAGGAACACGUACGCAACUUCCCUAAAACUGGUGAAUAGCCCUCCGAAAGGAGGAUUAAUACACCGUAAGAUAACGAGAUGGCAUCAUUUUGUUAUUAUAGCUCCGGCGGUUUUAUGAUAGGCGUGCGCCUGAUUAGGUAGUUGGUAAGGUAACGGCUUACCAAGCCUACGAUCAGUAACUGGUGUGAGAGCACGACCAGUCACACGGGCACUGAGACACGGGCCCGACUCCUACGGGAGGCAGCAGUAAGGAAUAUUGGUCAAUGGACGAAAGUCUGAACCAGCCAUGCCGCGUGAAGGAUGAAGGUCCUCUGGAUUGUAAACUUCUUUUAUCUGGGACGAAAAAAGGCCAUUCUUGGCCACUUGACGGUACCAGAGGAAUAAGCACCGGCUAACUCCGUGC